GACGUGUGCCUGAAACUAAGGCUUACCUUGAUAGGGUAAUUUAUAGAGGUUUAAAUCCUCUCAU
rnacentral:tRNA from 1 species